rnacentral:rRNA from 1 species
UGACAAGCUACUAAGUGCGAUCGGUGGAUGCCUUGGCACCAAGAGCCGAUGAAGGACGUUGUAACCUGCGAUAAGCCCUGGGGAGUUGGUAAACGAGCUGUGAUCCGGGGAUGUCCGAAUGGGGAAACCUUGAAUGUCCGGAGUCAUGUCCGGUGACCCUGCCCUGAAUGUAUAGGGGUGUGGGAGGUAACGCGGGGAAGUGAAACAUCUCAGUACCCGUAGGAAGAGAAAACAAUUGUGAUUCCGUGAGUAGUGGCGAGCGAAAGCGGAUGUGGCCAAACCGUGUGUGUGUUCAAGCCGGCAGGUGUUGCAUGUGCGGGGUUGUGGGGGCCUGUGUGAUCCUGCUGCCGUGGGAUCGGCUUGCAUGUGGUGUGAAGUUGAAUCGUCUGGGAAGGCGGACCGUAGUGGGUGAGAGUCCCGUAGACGUGAGUGUCAUGUGUGGUUGUCAGGUUGCCCCAAGUAGCGCGGUACUCGUGGAAUGUCGCGUGAAUCUGGCGGGACCACCCGUUAAGCCUAAAUACUUCUUGGUGACCGAUAGUGUAUCAGUACCGUGAGGGAAUGGUGAAAAGUACCCCGGGAGGGGAGUGAAAUAGUACCUGAAACCGGUCGCAUACAAGCCGUCGGAGCCUUUUUGGGGUGACGGCGUGCCUAUUGAAAAAUGAGCCUGCGAGUUAGUGGUAUGUGGCGAGGUUAACCUGUGUGGGGUAGUCGUAGCGAAAGCGAGUCCGAUAAGGGCGUCAGUCGCAUGCUCUAGACCCGAAGCGGUGUGAUCUAUCCAUGGCCAGGAUGAAGCGUCGGUAAGACGUCGUGGAGGUCCGAACCCACUUCAGUUGAAAAUGGAGGGGAUG